CUUAUUGGGCUCCUGUCUGCAGGAUUUACGCGCACGUUGGAACCGAAGAGAGCUCUGUUGUUGCAAUGUUCAGCCCACAAGAGCUUACUGGUGAAGGAAUGGGACAAGACCCAUCUUUAUGCAAAGCCAGCGUUACAGUAAUGUUCCAGGUAUUCCUGAUGACAGUCUGCCUCUAUCUUACAGUACUACUAACCAAUAACCUGCUUGGCUCAAAGGGCCAGCACCUUCUCUCUAAAGCCCAAGAGGAGUUUGAGGAAAACUAGGUGUCUGUGUUCACUCCAGGCUGAAGUUACAGGUCUGAGCAAAUAAGGUGUAUAAAAAAUGGAAUCUGUCUUGGAGGACAUCAGAAGGUGAAUUUUCCAAGUUCUUGGACAACCUAGCUGUUGAAAAGCUUUCUGGGUUUGGGGGGUAUUUCAGAUGUACCUUAAAGUGUUAGCAGACACAGAUUAAGACACUGGGAGCCAAUGAAACAGCAGUUGAGGGUUUGCUGUGUAUCACAUUUCUGUAUUUUAUCACCCCCUUCCUGCAACAUUAUUUAUCUGGAAUCUACCUGCCCUUUUGUUUUUUAGAUACAAGGGCUUGGUUUUGUUACCCAGGCUGGUUUCAAGGCCAUAGCUUUAAGAGAUCCUCUCACCACAGAUUUCCAAAGUGCUGGGAUUGCAGGUGUGAUUCAUGGCACCCAGACUUUGCUGCCUUUCUUACAUGAUCCAGGCCCAGAACCCAAACUCAGGCACUGUAUAGAUGACCACUUUCG
rnacentral:lncRNA from 1 species